rnacentral:misc_RNA from 1 species
UUUGACUCUUUAACUGUAGAUACUGGUAUCGUGGAGGCUGUAUAUACAGUACUUAGAGAAGCAGAAGAUCGUAGUGUUGCACCAAUUCCAGUUUGGGAGUUGCCUAUCUGGAAAGAUAUCUCUCCGAAGCUAAAAAAGGUUAAUGCAGCUCUCAAGUUGAUCAAUGACACAUUGGAUGAUCUGAUUGCUAUAUGUAAGAGGAUGGUAGACGAAGAAGAGUUGCAGUUUCACGAGGAAUACAUGAAUGAAAAAGAUCCUAGCAUCCUCCAUUUCUUGUUAGCAUCUGGAGAUGAGGUCUCAAGCAAGCAACUUCGUGAUGACCUCAUGACAAUGCUUAUAGCGGGACAUGAAACAUCUGCAGCAGUGCUCACAUGGACCUUUUAUCUGUUGUCCAAGGAACCUAGUGUCAUGGCCAAGCUUCAAGAUGAGGUCGAUUCAGUUCUAGGGGAUAGGUUACCAACCAUUGAAGAUCUAAAGAAACUCAGAUACACAACUCGUGUGAUUAAUGAGUCUUUAAGACUAUAUCCACAGCCACCAGUCUUGAUUCGUCGUUCUAUUGAAGAGGACGUAGUUGGAGG